rnacentral:rRNA from 1 species
AACGUGCCCAGUCGUGGGGGAUAACGUAGAGAAGUUUACGCUAAUACCGCAUACGAUCUAAGGAUGAAAGCGGGGGACCGUAAGGCCUCGCGCGAUUGGAGCGGCUGAUAUCAGAUUAGCUUGUUGGUGAGGUAAAAGCUCACCAAGGCGACGAUCUGUAGCUGGUUUGAGAGAACGACCAGCCACACUGGGACUGAGACACGGCCCAGACUCCUACGGGAGGCAGCAGUGGGGAAUUUUGGACAAUGGGCGAAAGCCUGAUCCAGCAAUGCCGCGUGUGG